rnacentral:lncRNA from 1 species
UCAGUCCAGUUCUUAUUGAAGAGAUACUUCUUUCUCUCAGGAAAUGAUGUGGUCAUGUAAUCGAUUACCAUGCCACAUGUAUCAGCUUAAGUGCUUGUAAAUAAGUCAAAUUAUUUAAAGUAUAAUAAUCUGCAGUAAAGGACUUCAGUUUGUUUUUUUCCAAAUUCAUCAUGAAAAGUUGCUGAUCACACAUUUUCAGCAAUAUGCGUACUUUAAGAUUAUAUAAAAUUACUUUUCAUGGACUAUAUUUAAUCUUCUGGAGAUAAACUGAAAAGAUGACUGUUUCAGUUGGCAGGACUGGUUGAUCAUUCAUCUCUCCUCAACAUUUGGAAAAAGAAAAGAAAGAAGACAAGACUCCUAAAGACUCUUGUAUCUGAAUUCUUUGAAGAAUGUUCUUACAUGUUUGUGUUUUGCAGUAUAUGUGUAAGUAUGAUUUUUUUUAAAUUAUGCUGUUAUUUAUUGACAAUCCAGAGUCUAUAGAGUCAAACAUAGAGUAGAAUCAGUAGAGGGAAAGGUACAUAGGGUGAAGUCUGGGAGACACCAGACACAAAGAUUCUCAUCCUGAAGGAGAACCAGGGGGAUGCACUUAAUUCUCUCAGCAAGAAUGUGAGAUAACACAUACAGAGUAUUUUAAAUCAGGGAAUCUCACCCCAGCCUUGGUUACCAG